rnacentral:rRNA from 1 species
AACGAACGCUGGCGGCGCGCCUAAUACAUGCAAGUCGAGCGAGAAGACGUAGCAAUACGUUUGUAAAGCGGCGAACGGGUGAGGAAUACAUGGGUAACCUACCCUCGAGUGGGGAAUAACUAGCCGAAAGGUUAGCUAAUACCGCGUACGCUCCUUGGACUUCGGUUCAGGGAGGAAAGCGAUACCGUGGGUAUCGCGCUCUUGGAUGGGCUCAUGUCCUAUCAGCUUGUUGGUGAGGUAACGGCUCACCAAGGCUUCGACGGGUAGCUGGUCUGAGAGGACAAUCAGCCACACUGGCACUGCGACACGGGCCAGACUCCUACGGGAGGCAGCAGUAAGGAAUAUUGCGCAAUGGGCGAAAGCCUGACGCAGCGACGCCGCGUGGGGGA